AUGCCUAUUGGACUCAAUCUAUUACGCUCACUAAGUAUAUACAUUGUGUUCAGCCACUAUCAGACUUUGGUGGCAUGCUCCAGCUGCCAAACUAUGCUCUGCCAACCUACCGAUGGAAAGGCGAGGCUCACCAAGGGAUGCCUUAUUAUGGCAAAAAAUGAAGCCCUUCUUAAGAUUGUUUACUACUACGUAUCCUCGAUGUGGGGAGACCGACCACAAGAGGGUAAUCGGUCUUAUGUCACCUUUAUCUUCGCAGGAGUCAGGAGCAAGCAAAUUACUUUGACAUUUAGCAUAUAUUUACUAGAGUUUCAGAAGGUCAAUAAUACCCAAUGCAUUGCCUUCCAUGACCUACCUUGGUCUAUUCUCAUGGGUGAUCUGCUAACUCAUUUUAAUUCGGUGCCUAGGUACUAUUUCCUUCGGCAUUCUGUUUUAUAA
rnacentral:rRNA from 1 species